AUACUUACCUGGACGGGGUCGAUGGGCGAUCAUAAAGGCUCAUGGCCUAGGUAGGUAACCUCCAUUGCACUUGAGGAGGGGUGCCCACCUAACAUCUUCCCAAAGUGGAAGAGUGUACGUCAUAAUUUGUGUUAGUGGGGGUCUGCGUUCGCGCAACCCCUAA
rfam:Beta vulgaris subsp. vulgaris chromosome 6, whole genome shotgun sequence.